rnacentral:lncRNA from 1 species
GGAAAAUAUAGAUGAAUCCAUUCAAACUUGCAUAAUGAGAAUGACUAGAACACACACGUAUUUCCAUUAAGGAAAAAAAAUCAAGAUGGCCUGAAACUUGGUUGUUUCAAAGAAAGCUGUUGGCCCAUCUCCCCACUUCACCUGACUCCCAUUCCCACACAGGCAACCCAACACAUUCAAGGUCAUGUCGGAACAGCUAACCUGACAGGGUGGGAUGCGGCCUACUGCUCUGAAGACUCGAAAUGCUGACGGCACCCUAUUAGCUUUCUGUUCACUUCAGUCAACUUCCUUCUCAUGGUCUAUCCUCUUCCAUAUCGUGAUGCCUUCCUUCCAUGUAUCAUCCAUCUUACAUCAUUGUGUAUAUCACACUAAGUGUCAAUAAAGUGUUC